UGGCUGAGGAAGCUGCUCUACAGCCUCAUAAACACAUUCGCAGAUGCCUCUCCAUCGCCCGCUCAGCCUGACCUCUCUCUGAUCAGAGGGCGAGAGACAUACAUAUAGAAAGAGAGAGAGAGAGAGACAUAUAUAUAUAUUUAUAUAUAUUUAUAUAUGUAUAUAUAAAGAGAGAAAGAAAGACAGAGAGAGAGAAUAUGAAUUAGAAUAAGAAGCAUCAAGCAAAGCAAGUAGAGCAAGAGCAGCAUCGCCGCAUCACUGCUGCUGAUCAUCAUCGCCUGCAUCCCUCUGUAUUCAACGAGAACGAAGAGGAGAAAGAGGAGAGGAAAGAAAGAGAAGAAGAAGAAGAAGGAGAAGAACAAGGAGGAGGAGGAAAAGGAGGGGGUAGCGUAACAGCUUUCCCUCUCGCAGCAUCUCAACCGCACACACACACUCAAACACACACUCAAACACACACACACACAUACUCACUCCGAUUCCCCAAGCCCAAAGCCCAGCGACGGGAACGCAUCGGCGAAUUAGCGAAUCAGGCCGGGAGCGGUAGAAGAGAAGAAGAGCCACACGUUCGGAGGCGUAAAGGCUCUCGAUUAGAAUGCAGCUGACGCUUCCAGCUCAAACAAAGAGGAGAUGGUUUAACUGAAGGAAGCUCUGGUGCCCUUCCAGCGGCAUGUGGAGGGAAUAGCCGAGCCGAGACGAGCCGAAUAGCCGGCCCCUGCCAAGAGCCGCCUGCUCUGAGGACGUGACCCAACACGUGGUGUGGAGACCAGCAGCAGAACCUCCAGAAAAACACCAGCAUCUCCAGCUUCUGCAGAAUCUCCUCUCCAGAGAUACCCCCCGUCCACUGAACCCCUGUCCUAUCAGCUCUCUGUGUGGAUUAAAAUUUACUGGAUUACUGGAGCUCAGAAAAAACAUCGUUCACAGAAAAAGAGGAGAAGAAGAAGGAGAAACGCCACACCGUUAAUCGUAAGUUUUGCUGUAUAAGAUGACCUGGGCAGUGAUGGCCUGGCGCAUAAUCCCCAGCAAGCAGCCUCUACAGCUGCGUUACAAACACACACCUGUCCAGCACUUAUAACCACAGGUAAUGACCAGGCACAGAACCAACCCUGGAGAUGCCGAAGAGAAGAGACAUUCUUGCCAUCGUGUUAAUCGUGUUACCGUGGACCCUGCUCAUCACCGUGUGGCACCAGAGCGCUAUCGCCCCUCUUCUCGCCAUCCGAAAGGCCUGUCACCAUCUAGUAAAAGAGAUCUUUAUCAUACCCGAGUGGCUAAUGGUCCAGCGGCAGCGCCUGGCAGAUGACGGGUCGGACGCCCGGCGCGAGGCGGGUCCCGCUGACUCCAAGGAGUACUGCUCCCCCGACAAGGACAUAGUGGAGGUGGUGCGCACCGAGUAUGUCUACACCCGGCCGCCGCCCUGGUCCGACGUGCUGCCCACCAUCCACGUCAUCACGCCCACCUACAGCCGGCCGGUGCAGAAGGCCGAGCUCACCCGGCUCGCCAACACCUUCCUCCACGUGCCCAACCUGCACUGGAUCCUGGUGGAGGACUCCCAGAGACGGACACCGCUGGUGACCCGGCUGCUCCGGGAGACCGGCCUCAACUACACCCACCUGAACGUGGAGACGCCGCGCAACUACAAGCUGAGGGGGGACACGCGAGACCCCCGCAUCCCCCGAGGAACCAUGCAGAGGAACCUGGCGCUCAGGUGGCUCAGAGAGACCUUCAGCCCCAACAGCAGCCAGGCGGGCAUCGUCUACUUCGCCGACGACGACAACACGUACAGCCUGGAGCUCUUCGAGGAGAUGCGCUCCACCCGUAAGGUCUCGGUUUGGCCCGUGGCGUUUGUUGGAGGUUUACGGUACGAGUCUCCGAAGGUUAACGCCGCUGGGAAAGUCUACGGCUGGAAAACGGUGUUCGACCCCCAUCGGCCUUUCGCCAUCGACAUGGCCGGCUUCGCCAUCAACCUGCGGCUCAUCCUGUUCAAACCCCAGGCCUACUUUAAACUGCGGGGGGUGAAGGGGGGGUACCAGGAGAGCAGCCUCCUCCGAGAGCUCGUCACUCUCAACGACCUGGAGCCUAAAGCUGCUAAUUGCACUAAGAUUCUCGUGUGGCACACGAGGACAGAAAAGCCCGUCCUGGUGAACGAAGGGAAGAAGGGCUUCACAGACCCGAACGUGGAGAUCUGACGUCUGCCUGAAUUCUGAUCUGUAUAAAGUGAUAAAGCUUUAUAGUAAAUGACUCAGUAAACUGCUGCAGGUGUGGAGCUGAGGGUCGGAGUCCAGCGCUGUGUCUUUAUUUCUCUGCUCUGCUGCAGCUGCAAGAGCUGGAACAUUAACGGAUGAGUAAAUUCAGGCACUUGGCUUCAUCCAGGUCCGACGGGAACACGCAGAGACGGAGACGGUACCUCAGAACCAAAACCUUUGGACAAAUUAAUCUCGUUCCUACUGACUUUAUAACCAAACAGACGUUACUGCUACAGAGAUACAGUAUCAGUUCAAAGUUCAAAGCACAGAUUGGUUAAAACAAGGCAAUAUUUCUCAGUAUUUUAUAAGAAGAAGCAGAAUCAGAAGGAGAUGAACUCGAGAGGGAUGUGGGUGAUGCUUCCUGCAGGCGCAGCUUGGGGCCGGAGCGACGGGGCACUCGACCCGCUGACGAACCUGCCACUCUUCUACCCGGCACACGGUGCCCGCCUCGUGCCAGGAGGGUAAUAACUGCAGAGAGUGGCAGGGCGGGAGGGGUGGAGCCUGGCUGAAGAGUUGAUGAGACUCUGGAACUAAAGUAGAAUAUGAUUGGACGAUUGAAAAACGAUUGGAAUUUAAAGCGAUUGGUCUCGGAUUGGACUGGACUCGGACUCGACUCUUUUAUUCGAGAGAUUUAACGCGUACGCAGAAGGGAAUGUGUUCUGUUUGUUUUUUACAUAACGCAAAAUCUACGUUUAUCUAUGUUUAAUUUAAUUGCGUUUGCGCGUCUUGAUAGAAAGUUCAGAACUACGUUCUUUACGCUGUUCUUACGUUGUUCUUUACGUUGUUCUUUUACAUUGUUCAUUCACUGUUUGCGUCGACUGUCUCGUUGUUCUAGCUCAGAACUACUGAACUACUGGUUUUGGAUUCUUGUUGCCUCAACUCAAAUACAGGUCCUCGAAGCAAUUUUGCAAAGCAGUAUUAUAUAUAUAUUUAUAUAUAUUUAUAUACAAGGUUUGGACAAUGAAACUGAAACACCUGUCAUCAUUUUAGUGUGGGAUUUUAGGUUUCAUGGCUAAAUUGGAGCAGCCUGGUGUUCAAUCUUCAUUAACUGCACAUUGCACCAGUAAGAGCAGAGUGUGAAGGUUCAAUUAGCAGGGUAAGAGCACAGUUCUGCUCUAAAUAUUGCAAUGCACACAACAUUAUGGGAGACAUACCAGAGUUCAAAAGAGGACAAAUUGUUGGUGCACGUCUUGCUGGAGCAUCUGUGACCAAGACAGCAAGUCUUUGUGAUGCAUCAAGAGCCACGGUAUCCAGGGUAAUGUCAGCAUACCACCAAGAAGGACCAACCACAUCCAACAGGAUUAACUGUGGACGCUGUAAGAGGAAGCUGUCUGAAAGGGAUGUUCGGGUGCUAACCCGGAUUGUAUCCAAAAAACAUUAAACCACGGCUGAUCAAAUCAUGCAGAAUUCAAUGUGCACCUCAACUCUCCUGUUUCCACCAGAACUGUCCGUCACCACAAUCAAUUAUUGUGCUCUAAAACCAGGUGUUUCAGUUUCAUUCUCCAACCCCUGUACAUAUAUAUAUAUAUAUAUAUAUAAAACACACAUCCUGAGCCUGGCAGCCAUGUUGCUUUUUGACGGUCAGUGAGUGUAUAACACUUUAUAUUAUUUUUUUUCUGAUUUUAGGACCUUACGGCACUUAAAUGUUACGUCCAGUGUUCCAGAGCGGACAUUACGUUGUAAAUAAUUUACUUUACGAACAGUCAUAGGCUUCAGAACCAAGUGGCAUUAAAAAGUCUAGCGUUAAAACUCAACAAGAUCAAGCAAUGUAACUCUACUGUAUUUAUAAUUCAUAUUCCAGUGUUAAAGUAAAGAGAGGCUGAAGAAGAACAAUUUACUAAGACGUCCACACGUCGGCGAAUAAGGUAUAAGACCACGCACAUGCUCAGAGAGGGGCACUCAGAUAUAUAACAGCAGGGUAGAGUUUAGCGUUCAGAACAGGGAUUCGGCAUUUCGUCUCAAUCUGUUAAACAUGGUGGCGGUGGGGCUCUUUUUGAAACCCUUUUUUUUUACAUCCCAGCUGGUUGGGAUUUCAUCACAGCAUCAAAAAACGGUAAAAAAUGAUUCAGUCUUUUCUCACGAAAGUGUUUUUUUCUGACAUUUCCAGACAAAUAUUUCAGUUGCCAAAUAUUUAAUGCAUCCCUAUUUAGAUUUGCUAGAUUUAAAGAUUAAUACAGUUUAAUAAGAUUAAUAAGUUCAGUGUUCAGGACAGGGAUUCAACAUUUUGUCUCAUUCUGUUAAACAUGGUGGUGGUGGAGCUCGAUUUAAAUCACUUCAGUACUACUAUUGAUGCAACAAUAUGAAUAUAUCCCACAUUAAUAAAACAUUACAACAUUAAUCUGAAAGCUAAAUAUCAAAAUAUGACAUUUUUUCACUGUAGUAUUAAUUAAACUAAAUAUAUUAAUAUAUAUAUAUGUAUAUAUUUAGUUUCUCUUUUCAAAGAAAAAGUUAAAUUUUUUAAAGAUUAUUUCCCUACUGAUUUUGAUCAGAAAAAUUGUUCAGUCUUUUUUCACAAAAGUGUUUUUUCUGACACAUUCGAACAUAUAACUUCAGUUGCCAAAUAUAUAUUUCAUCCCUAUUAAAUACUUAUUAAUUUGUGCUAGAUUUAAAGAUGAAUACAGAGUUCGGUGUUCAGGACAGGAAUUCAGCACUUCGUCUCAUUCUGUUAAACAUGGUGGUGGAGGAGCUUGAUUAAAAUCACUUUAAUACUACUAUUGAUUAUAUAAUAUGGGAUAUGAAAGUAUCCCAUAUUUUUUGGCCUAAACCCAACAAAAUAAAACAUUAAUCUGAAGGCUGAAUACCAAAAUUUGCCACUUUUUCACUAUUGCACAACUUGAAUAGGAUGUUUCUUUUGCUUUUCAAAGAAAAAGUAGUUACAAUUAAAAAAAAAUAAUAAUUAAUGAUUUUGAGCACAUCGAGCACAUUUUUUACUGCCCAAAAAAUCUUUUUUUCACUAAUUAAUCAGUUAGUCAAUUGCCUAAGCGCUUUUGUGCCAUUUUUAGACAAAUAAUUUGUCUAAAAUAAAUAUUUGGUUGCCAAAUAUUUAGUGCAUCCCUGCUGGUUGUGAUUUCAUCACAUUAACAAAAAUCUGUAAAAAUUAUUCAUUUUUUUCACACAAAAAGUGCUUUUUUGCCAUUUUUCGGAGUGUUUAUAACAAGGAUUCAGUACUUUUCCUCAUUCUGUUAAACAUGGUGGCGGUGGAGCUUGAUUAAAAUCAGUUCAUUCAUUAAUCUGAAAAGGCUGAAUAAAAAAAUUUGCCACUUUUUUCACAAUUGUCUUAAUUAAAUAGGCUGCAUAUGUUUAUUUUGCUUUUCAAAGAACCAUCUUUGAACAUCACCAUCAUAAAAAAACACUUAUUUAGCAAAACAUUGAAAAUAUUUUUUUUUUUAUGUAUCGUCUUCAUCACAUUAGGAAAAGACAAUAAAUAUGAAUCUCAAAACUAAUUUCAACCAUUUUUAUAGAUACUUUUAACAUUAAAUUGGGCCAAAUUGACCCCAUUGCAGCAUUAUAGUUUCAAUCGCUUAUUAGCAUACAAAACAGACAACAUUAUACCUUUAUUGAUCUCAUUAUGAGUUUAGUGCUCAUGAGGCUUCAUGAGGCUUCAUUAAAAUCAAACCUCCGUGCAUCCAACCAGCCUUAAAGUCAGUCUUCACACUGUACUCCAACCAUACUCCACCACACGGCUACCAGAAUGAAGACGUUAGCCCGUAAGAGUCUCAGCUGGUGAGGAUCGGGAGAUUUCUCUGAACUCGUAUCCACCUGGGCAGAGCUUUCAUCUCACCCUCACAAAUCUCCACAGCUCCACCUGAAUUUCACACCACCCUGGAGCUCCUGAGAGCUUCGUUUAACAACGCUCCUCACAAAGACACUGUUCCAGAAGGCUACAGAGCGACAUGAGAGUGAGUGAAAACAAAACCGCCGCCACGGCGUAGAGAGACGUCUGAGGCAACACUAAAAUCCUGCACAGCCCAAACUCCAUACCCCAUACACCUAAACGAUUAUACACAAUUACACGCCUCUACCAUCAGAAACCAGGAGAUAUGAGGAUGAAAUCUUAUCUGUAGGUUGAGAUGAGGCUAAAAAUCCCAACAAACGUAGUGCAGAAUAUCACCAUCGUCUCAAUGUUGAGUCAAAUUAACCUUACCUAGAGAAUGUCUGGAGUUGUAGAGGUUUAAAAUGUUCUUUCCUUCAGUUCAAUUUCAUAAAAUCAAUUAAAUUAAUAUCUGGAGUUUUAGAGCAUCCUAAUGUUCCUCUUGUUCUUUCCUUUUGGAUAGGAUUAAUUUGACUCAACGUUGAGACGGUAACCAUGUUCUGCACGACGUUUGUAACAUUAUCCAGAAGGAAGGAACAAGAGAAAGAUUAGAAAGCUCUUAAACUCCAGAAAUAAAUUUGAUUGAUUUUAUGAAAUUGAACUCUAAAAUCAUGUAAUUUGAACCAGAUCUAAGCUGUGAAAUCCUCCAAAAACCCAACAAACGUAGUGCAGAAUAUCUUUAUCUUCUCAACGUUGAGUCAAAUUAACAAUAUCCUGAAGGAAGUACCAGGAGGAAGAUUAGAAAGCUCUAAAACUCCAGAUAUUAAUUCGAUUCAUUUUAUGAAAUUGAACUAAAGGAAAAAACAUUAGGAACCUCUACAACUCCAGAGCAUCGCUAUCAUCUCAGAGUGACUCUAGCUCUAAACUCUGGGUUUUUGUAGUUUGAACCCGGCCUAAGCUGUCAAAUCCUUCAAAAACCCAACACACGUAGUGCAGAACAUCGUUAUCGUCUCAACGUUGAGUCAAAUUAACCUUAUACUGAUGGUGGAGUGACUCUAGCUCUAAUCUCAACCUACAGAUGAAGACCUACCUCUCGGUUUCAGCCUCGUAUCUCUGGGUUUUUGUAGUCUAAACCUGGCCUAAGCUGUCAAAUCCUCCGAAAACCCAACAAACGUAGCGCAGAACAUCGUUUACAUCUCAACGUUGAGUCAAAUUAACAUUAUCCAGAAGGAAGGAACAGGAGGAACAUUAGGAACCUCUACAUCUCCAGAUAUUAAUUUGAUUUUAUACAAUUUUAACUAACAUCGUGUAGUGUAAACCUGGCCUAAGUGUCGAAAUAUUCCAAAAACCCAACAAACGUAGUGCAAAAUAUGUUUUUCAUCUCAACGCUGAGUCAAAUUAACAUUAUCCAGAAGGAAGGAACAUGAGGAACAUUAGGAACCUCUACAACUCCAGACAUUAAUUGAAUUGAUUUUAUGAAAUUGAACUAAAGGAAAAAACAUUAAAACCUCUACAACACCAGAACAUCUUUAUCUUUAUCUUUAUACAUAUUUUAUGAAAUUGAAUCUAAAAUCGUGUAGUUUGAACUUGGCCUAAACUGCAAGAACCCAACAAACGUAGUGUAGAACAUGGUUAUCGUCUCAACGCUGAGUCAAAUUAACAUUAUCCAGAAGGAAGGAACAUGAGGAACAUUAGGAAGCGCUGAUUGAUUGAUUUUAUGAAAUCAUGUAGUUUGAACCCGGCCUAAGCUGCGAAAUCCUUCAAAAAAACAACAAAUGUAGUGCAGAAUAUCAUUAAAUUGGUUUCAAACUACAAAAACCCAGAGAUACGAGGCUGAAACCAAGAUGUAUCACUUCAUCUGUAGUUUGAGAUCAGAGCUCGAUCCAAUCCACAUUCAGAAUAUCGUUAAUUUGACUCAACAUUGAGACGAUAAUGAUGUUCUUCACCACGUUUGUUGGGUUUUUUAAGGAUUUUGCAGCUUAGGCCAGGUUGAAACUACACAAUUUUAGGUUACAUUUUAUAAAAUCCUAUUAAAAUCUGGAAUUGUAGAGGUGUUUAAUGUUCCUCCUGUUCCUUCCUUUUGAAUUAUGUUAAUUUGACUCAACGUUGAGACGAUAACAAUGUUCUGCACUAAGUUUGUUGGGUUUUUGGAGGAUUUUGCAACUUAAGCUGGUUUCAAACUACUAAAACCCAGAGAUACGAGGCUGAAACUGAGAUAUAGCACUUCGUCUGUAGAUUGAGAUCAGAGCUAGAUCCAAUCCACAUUCAGAAUAUCUUUAAUUCGACUCAACGCUGAGACAAUAACGAUGUUCUUCACCACGUUUGGUGGGUUUUUGGAGAAGUAGUGGGAACCUGGCAUUAGGUUAAAGUGAGUUAAAGAUCAGUCAAUCUAGAUAUGUAGUAUGUAAUAUGUAAUCAGCUGGGUAUUGAUUGGUUGGUUGCAGCAGGCCCUUGCCGGUUAUUUCUGAGCACUCUCUCUCUAUAUAUAUAAAUACUGUAAAUGUGAUGGUCUUAGGCAUAUUUUUGCACCUGUCUGCCUUUAACCCAUUAGCACAGGAGUAUUUGCAUUGCUGGUGCACAUUAUUUUCGGUUUAUUUGUUUGUUUUUUGUUGUUUUAUUUGCUGUAUAUGAAUAUGACGGUAGCACAGAGGCUGGUACAGCAUGCACUGACUGCGAGUUGCCUCCCUACACUGUAAUAAUGACAUUGGAAAUGAGCUAACGUCGCUAACGUUGCUAACGUCGCCCCGUAACGAAGUUAUUACUUACGAACAAAUUGAUGUGUGUACGAUGUCUUGCUUUUCGCAAGGCAAAUUCAACGAUUCAUACGAAACAAACAGAAAAAAAGCUCCGGAAAACUGGAUUUUGGGUUUUCUCGUUAAAAGACGCUGCAAGGAAGGCGCUUAUUGCAGCGAUCCAUCUCAGCCCAAGUCAUUAUUUUGCACAGCGGCACCCAGUUUCCUGCCAGGAACCUCCUUAUUCUGUACAUUGUAAAAAAAAAUGCUGUGUGUUCCUUUUUCUUUCUUUUUUUUUUGUAUUUAUCCUAUACUGAAAUAUUUAUUUAUUGUAUUUAUUUUGCAUUUAUAAAAUGUCCUGAAGUAUUCACACCAACUCAGAUCUCAAUUCUCACACUUUAAACCACGUAUUCCAGAAAGACGUUUCCAGAAAGUAGAAUAUAUAUAAGUUUAUAAGAUUUUUCAGAUCAAGCAGAAGUCAGUGAGAGCCACAACAAACAUGAUAAAGGCAAAUAUCCUUAAAGAAAUAAUAGUUUAAUAACAAUAAAUAAAUAAAUAAACUAAAUUAAUCAAGUUUUCUUCUUAAGUUUUAGUUUUGCACUGGAGCUCAAGGCAAAUUACAAAAUAACUGAAAUUUAAAAGGGGAAAUGUGGUUAAACAUCCAAUAAAUAUUAUCUAUACAGAUAUGAAUCCGAUCUUUCAAACCACUACAGGACAUGAUCUCAGACAAACUUCAGAAGGUGGUCUGAGACAAACUCCAAACUUUUAAUCACACAACUUCAGGAGAUGGUCUAAAACAAACUUCAGAGAUUCAUUUAAAAUAGAUAAAAAUCUGAUCUCUCAAACCACUUCAGGAGGUCGUCAGAGAUGCAUUUAUAACGGAAACAAUUUCAAUCACUCAAACUACUUCAGGACAUGGUCUGAGACAAACUUCAGGAGGUGAUCUCAGACACACUUAUUUUUUUUUAAAAAAACAACCUCAGAAUGUGGUCUGAGCUGCAUUUAAAACAGAUAAAAUAAAACUCAAACCAUUUAAGGACAUGGUCUUAAGUCCUAUCCGGAUGGGAUUCAUUUCUCAGGGGGGCGUCUGUAAAAAUUUCACAAUAAAUCUCUUGCAAUUGAAAAAACAGGAGGAACAGUGAGUUUUUAGGCUUUCUCAGUCACAUGACAUCAUGUUCAGUAGCUCCUCCAUUUCCACUCGCUGUUGUGUUUUUAACGUGGAUCUCUGUGGAAACUCCCAAGCUCCAAAGUGUAAUUACGGUGCGCAGCAGUGGACAAAUAUCUAUUUUAUUAAACUUGAGGAGACGAAACUCAGAGAUGUGCGUCCGAACGGGACUAAAAUUACCGGAGGAGCACGGAGUUCAGAGAAAAACAGUAGAUAAUUCAGCCUGUAAUUUUCUCAGAGGACGUCUGAGAAAAACACCUACAUGAUCGUUCUGGACGGGAAUAAAAUCACAUAGGAUAAAAACCCCCAUAAAAGAGAAAAUUACCCAGAACCCCCUGAGAUACUAAUCCUGUCUGGAUAGGGCUUAAGAUAAAUUUAAAGAGGUGGUCUGAGACACAUUUAAAAAAUAAAAAAUCUGAUCACAGCGAUGUAGCUCCAGCUCAAAACUACAGAAACUAUUGGGAAGCCCAACAGGAUCCCAGUUUUUGACACACCUUAAAUUCAGUGUUUAUUCAUUAUAUUAAAAUGUUCUGUAUUGUAGAUUAAUACUAAAGUCAUACAAACUAUGAAGAAAAACAUAUGGCAUUAUAUAGUAACAAAAAGUGUUAAACAAACUGGAACUCAGGCUUUCAGUUAACAGCUGUGCUGAACUCAUCAAGAGUUAAUUACUUGAAUUUCUUGUCUCUUAAUAAAGUGUUUGAGAGCAUCAGUUAAAGUAAAGUAGUGAAGAGCUAGAGCAAGAACUACUCAACUAAGUAAAGAAAAAUACUUUAUUUAUUAUUACUUUAUAUAAUUAAUUAAGAAAUAAUGGUCAUUCUAUAAGAAAGUACAUUUGAAGAACUUUCAAAGUUUCCUCAAGUGCAGUUGGGGAAAAAAGACCAUCAAAAACGCUAUGAUGAUGGAACUGGCACUCAUCUGGACUGCUUCAGAAAAUGAAAAGCAAAGUUUUUUAUUUUGUUUGUUUAACACUUUGGAAAAAAUUAAAAGACCACAGUUUCUGAAUCAGUUUCUCUGAUUUUGCUAUUUAUAGGUUUAUGUUUGAUUAUAUUCCAGAGGUUUUUUAUGUGGUAAAAUCAAAGAAACUCAUCAUUUUUAAGUGCUCUCUUAUUUUUAUCCAUGUUUUUAUGAUGAACUUCUCCUUUAAGACCCUGCAGCUCUUGACGUUUCCACAUUCCUGAGUUUCUAGUAUGAAAACAUAAGUAAUGCCAAAUCAUUAUAAAACCAUUAAUACAUUAAAUUACUGAAAUAAAAUAGUGGUGUGUUCACUGACAUUUCCUACAAAUACACAAAUAUAAUACAACCCGUCACUGAGACUGAGUACCCUCACAUACUGCUCUUACUGUUUCAGUUUCCAUUUACACACUUACACACACCCUUACACACCCUUACACACUCUUACACACCCUUACACACUCUUACACACUCUUACACACCCUUACACACUCUUACACACACUUACACACUCUUACACACUCUUACAUGCCCUUACACACACACUCGCGCCUCUAAAUCUCUUCAGUUUGAAACACAAAGCGAAGCAUUUCUGCAUGUUACUCUUGUAAAUGUUCUUUUUUUCUCCAUGCCUCAUUUCAGAAGAGAAAGAGAUUCAAAACGACAGAAAACAAUAAACAUUUCAAAAGCUCUGA